rnacentral:lncRNA from 1 species
CGAAAAUUGCGCCUCAGAGGCAAAGUGGAUCAAGGCCAGAUAUGAAGAGGAAAUGGAUCUCAUUUUUGGAUAAGAUAUACAAAAGAGCCAUUGCACAGAGCCAAGGAAACAAAUCAAGGAAUGGUUGAUGCACUUCUAAGCCAAUACAAAGGACUUGAACCCAGUGUGAAUACUCAAGGUUGCGACGCUUAACAUACAUGAAGAUGUAGGCUUUCCUUGUAUCCACACUCUUUGUGAAAAUACUUACAGAUGAGUAUCCCUAACUUGGCUUCUAUAAUCUAGUCCCUUUUCUGCCUUUCAUAGUGUGGCAAACUUUCUGUAGU